rnacentral:rRNA from 1 species
UAGUCCACGCGGUAAACGAUGAAUGCUAGGUGUAGGAGGUAUCGACCCCUUCUGUGCCGCAGUAAACACAAUAAGCAUUCCGCCUGGGGAGUACGGCCGCAAGGUUGAAACUCAAAGGAAUUGACGGGGGCCCGCACAAGCAGCGGAGCAUGUGGUUUAAUUCGAAGCAACGCGAAGAACCUUACCAGGUCUUGACAUCCGUGUAAAACCCAAGAGAUUGGGAGUGAGCUUGCUCAAUACGAGAC